ACUGCAGUAUAUGAAGAAAUCUGGCCUCCCACAGAGACGGAUUUGGAAACAAGAGGACUACACAGACCCUCUGACAGUCUCUUGGGGGACACAAUGGCUUGCCAAGGGAUCCUUGAUACACACUUCGAGAACCACUUGCAUAGACCAUCACCAUCAUCCUGGAAGGUUUUUUCAGAGAGGACCACUACUCUGACUUCCUUCAAGAUUAGCAUUGCCUUUCCUUGAUCUUCAUGUAUGUGGAAUCAUAAGUGACAUGCUGCUUUGAAAUAAAGGACAUUUGAAAAUAGAAACAUGGACCUAUGAAGAUAUAAAUCGGAUGAAGAUUCUGAAGUGCCCUGAUGUUACUAUUUAUGUCUGCUUAGAUAUUCCAACUAAAUGGAAGGUCACUGGGAGGGGAUUUGGUCAACUCUGUAGAUAUAUGAGAAGCAUCUUCCAAAUGAAUUCUUGUGACAAAAUUAAUUUAACCCACAGACUAUACUGUGAUUUCCUUCUUCUUCUUACUUCUAUAUUUUGGCGUUAAGCUUCAUUUUGGUGAGGAUGGAUAUAAUAACACCAAAGAAUUAAAUCUUUCUGUGUAAAUUUGGGAUGGUUGGUUCCCUCUGCCCAGAUAUUUUUUAUGCCUAAAGUAUAGUAAUACUCUAAUAGAGAAAUGAAGAAAUGGAGAAAAAUAUACAAACAUGAAACUAUGACACAAACAGUAUUCAAAAGGGAUGACAGUGAAACAUUAUCAGCACUGGAAAUUAAAUACUUCCAAGUUCGGUAAAUAGUAGCAAAUGAUUCUCUGUGCUUGUCCCCCUUUAGCUUCUGAAGAAAGUAUUGACCACGGUGUAGAAGGAAGAAUCAUAGGACAUUACAAGACUAUUCCAACAGCUAAGUUCUUAUAUGAGUUGGGUGACCAUUCAUUCUCAUUUGUCUGAGGCAAUUCCAGUUUAUGCCUGUAGUCCUAGAUAUUAUAAACAGAGCUGCCUUUCACUCUCAAAACUAUCCUGGUAUGGACAAUAAAUUAUAUGACCACCUUACUUAUGAGGAGUGAUUAGGGUCUUUGGCAGAUGGGACUUAGCAGAGAGCAUGACAAGAGUCAUCGUGUAAGGUUUCUACAUGCACAGCACAGCUCCAUCAUUAAAAACCACCAACCAACUUUCAGCGAGCGCUUUAAAAAUUAAUUGGAGUCAUAUUAACAUUUGUGAGUGACCUGAC
rnacentral:lncRNA from 1 species